AGGAAAGGAGAGAAGGGCGCAUGAAGGAUGCCUAGGCUCUCGGAGGCGACGAAGGACGUGACAAGCUACGAUAAGCCGCGCGUAGGGGCAAAUACCCGUUGAUGCGCGGAUUUCCGAAUGGGGCAACCCGCCGGGCGCGAGUCCGGCACCUGGCCGAGCCAGGGGCGAACCCGGGGAACUGAAACAUCUAAGUACCCGGAGGAAGAGAAAACAAACCAGUGAUUGCGCAAGUAGCGGCGAGCGAACGCGCAGGAGCCCAAACCGGGGGCGUCGCAAGGCGCCGUCCGGGGUUGUAGGACCGACGACAAAGCGUAGCGUGAA
rnacentral:rRNA from 1 species